UUUUCUUUUCCCUCUCUUUCAGCACUGGGGAUUUUGUUCAGGCCUUCAUACGUGUCGGUGACAGACCCACACGUCUUGUCCAGCAUGUCUCACACAAGCCUGGAGCCUGGGUCACCACAAGGCACCCCUCCCGCUGCAGCACCUCCCACCUUCUGCUCAGCUGCAGAAGACAAAGAAGAUGAAAAACAUGCAGUUUGCUUUCUUGCCAGACUGAUUUGUUUUGGGAAACAAGUUAACAUGUACUAGGUUUAUCACUAUUUUUUUUAAAGAGAGAGAAUUUUUUUAAUAUUUAUUUUUUAGUUUUCGGUGGACACACGUCUUUAUUUUAUUUUUAUGUGGUGCUGAGGAUCGAACCCAGUGCCCCGCACAUGCCAGGGGAGCGUGCUACUGCUUGAGCCACAUCCCCAGCCCUAUCACUAUUGUUAAACAAGCUAAUGCUUUUAAGAGUUUUGGUUUUGAUUUGUGAUGCACUGACUGUCCAGAGCUACAGCCACCUGUCCUCCUACUUGGCCUCAGCCCCUAAUCCUCUCAGUGGAUCAGCCAGCGUUUAGUCAGGUGGGUCCCCAGCCCAGCUCUUCUCCUGAUGGGUGCAGAGUAUGCAGGGAGGGGAUGUGGGUUCAUGGCAUAGCCUGCCUUCUGCUUGAUUUUGGAUAGGAAGCAGCUUUCUUUGAAAGAAGCUCAGUCUUAGCCUGAUUUGUGAGGUAAGUCCUGCCUCUCCCUGCCCAGCAUGCAGCCAACUUGCAGGUUUCAGGCUGUGUGAGCCCCUCUCUGUCCUGAAGCAAAGCCAGGUGCAAGCUGGUUGCUGGUGACCUGGGCCACCUUGCAUGGGGUCUCGCCUCUGGCUCAGCUCUCAAGGCAGCUGUCUAAGCAGAGACUGGUUGACCUGUCCCUCCCACACUUCCCCUGUUCCAGGUUCAAAGGCCUGACUUCCUGCACACUGGAGUUCUGGAAAUGUUAUGGCAGCCACACCUUUAAGACCUGGGAUGUCAGUACCAGAUUGUCCUCUCUGCUUCGUAUGCACACUCAGCUGAAUCCCCUGAGGCUGCUGCUCAGAGCCCACCAAGCCAUUCGGCCCUCAGAGGCCUGGAGGGCCUCCUGUCCAAGGGAACUCUGAAGACUUAGGUGUGUGGUGGCCACUCUGGCCACAUGCAGCGUUUUCUCUCUCCCUUCACAGAGUACAGUGCAUCGUUGGCCGUGACAAAGGUAUGAGUCCUGGCCUAGCCCAAGCAUGGUCCCCUGUGUCUCAGACCUGCCUUCCGCUCCAUUAACUGCAUUCUGCUGGGUCCUCGUCCUGUGGCCUUGUGCUGUAAGUCUUCAGAGAACUUAGUCCUCUCCAGGUCGCCCAAAGUCUGUCAUAGUGUUGGGGCUGUCCCUUUUCUCAAGAGCUCAGAAAACAGAUGACAACUGUGGGUAUGUGUAUUUUAAUACUAAAUCAGGGGCGUCUGUACACCUGUGCUUCUGCAGAAAGGAAAGCAGGUGUCUCAGUUGUAAUCAUGAAAUCAAACCCCUCAGGAUGCAAACAGAGCUCAGUCCUCUGUGUUGCAGAUGCUGGUUGGCACAGGGCACAAGUGUGAG
rnacentral:lncRNA from 1 species